UGUGUUGUACAAAAUACAACAUCGUCAUCACUCGAGGGUUAAGGAGAAACAUCAGAGAAUACAAAUAUGACUGCCACAAUGAUCGACUUGGAUCAUGCGGUUUGGUUCGAUGCUUUGUUCGUCAGAUUUGUGCCUCUAAAGUUUGUAUGUAAAAUUGCAAAGGGAUUUAUUGAUGUUUCAUCUUAAAGCCCUGACAAAAUUUAAGCACAAAAUUCCCUCUUUAAUUUUUUUUUAGUUCAUACACAUUUUCACUUUAUGUACCUCUAGCCUAUGGCAUAAAAAAUGUUCCAGUCUGUAUAUAAGUGACCCGAUUUUGUCAGCCCCUUUUCGGAACACAUUUUUGGUUAAAGUUUGUCCGAAAGAUAAUGAGAGCAAAAAGUUUGUCGCAGAAUAGGGCUGAUAAAAUCGGGUCCUUACUGUAUUCAUUUUCAAUUAAUUGUCUUGUGAACUUGAAGAAGUAAAGUGAAUUGGUUGAUUGUGUUCAACACACAAACCUGUACACUAUCAUCAUAUGUACACACUUACUUCAAGCGGUCAAAAAGGGUGAUAUAUUUUCAAAUACACUCAUUACCUGCAUUAGGACCUAAGUUUCAUCGCUCUGCAAUUUCGGUUGGCACAGCAAACUUCAGUCUUCUGCGCUUAUAUUUAUUCCAUCAUUAGCGAUACUAUUGCAUAAACUACCUGACAAACUAAAACGGAGAACGCACGAUGCAGCUACUUAUUUUGCAUGACCAGUUUACUUUCGGCACUGCUCCUAAGCGAAUCAGUUUUGUUCAGUGGGAUCAGUGUUAACAUGUUACCGGACGGUAGAGUACUAGUAUUCCUCUAUAUAUUGGCAAAUUCUUUUGCGGCGAUCCCCAAAUUCAGGCUAAAUGAGUCAACCGAACCGCCGCAACGUGAUCUACCACCGCUUUCGACCACCACCACCGCCGCCGCCGCCGCCGCAGACGCGAUGACGACAGCAACGGAAACAAUACAACCAUCAACGUCACCCGUUCCCACUCAUAUCGAUUGCGGUCGCGUGCCAACGUGCGGCAAGGUGUGCUGCAAGGUCGGAACAUUUCCAUGAAUUUCGUUUGAGUUGGUUGAUUGGGCGCCGCUCGAAGUCAUGUGUCAUCGGGCUGUGCAGUUUUCGGAUCCAGUAAAAACACCUAAUAUCUUUUGUCGUUUAUUUUAAGAAUAAAUAAUGUUAAAACUUUAUUUAAACAUAUUUGUAACUGCAAUAAAAGAACGUUACAACAACGGUGCAUCUCAUAAGAGAAUCUUACUUGGGAUAAGAACUGUUAUGAAAUGGUUCUUCCACUUCUUCCACGCCAACGGUAGAAAACAUUUGAAAGAUAGCUAGAAGGGAGUUGAUUAGUGAGCGAGCACUGGACAGGGGACGCAAGAAUUUACUUUCAAUGGCAAAAAAAUUCAAAACGUUGCUCCUCGCGGGGGUACUUAACAAACUAAAACUGGUUCGACUUAACAAA